UGGGGAAUAUUGCACAAUGGGGGAAACCCUGAUGCAGCAACGCCGCGUGAAGGAAGACGGUUUUCGGAUUGUAAACUUCUGUUCUUAACGAAGAAUAAUGACGGUAGUUAAGGAGCAAGCCACGGCUAACUACGUGCCAGCAGCCGCGGUAAUACGUAGGUGGCAAGCGUUGUCCGGAAUUACUGGGUGUAAAGGGAGCGCAGGCGGGAGAGCAAGUCAGCUGUGAAAUCCAUGGGCUUAACCCAUGAACUGCAGUUGAAACUGUUUUUCUUGAGUGAAGUAGAGGUUGGCGGAAUUCCGAGUGUAGCGGUGAAAUGCGUAGAUAUUCGGAGGAACACC
rnacentral:rRNA from 1 species